rnacentral:pre_miRNA from 2 species
AGAGCGGAAUGCAGCCAAGGAUGACUUGCCGGAGCGCCGCCCGCCGGCCGGCAAGCGUGCGUUUCAGAAUUCAGAGAGAGUUUGUUACUUUGUUUUGUUGAGUGACUCUCUGUUGGGGACUUGGUGUUGGUGAUCCCGGCAAGUUUGUCCAUGGCUACGUUUCGCUCUCC